UACGUAGGGUCCGAGCGUUGUCCGGAAUUAUUGGGCGUAAAGAGCUCGUAGGCGGUUUGUCGCGUCUGCUGUGAAAUCCCGAGGCUCAACCUCGGGUCUGCAGUGGGUACGGGCAGACUGGAGUGCGGUAGGGGAGAAUGGAAUUCCUGGUGUAGUGGUGGAAUGCGCAGAUAUCAGGAGGAACACCGGUGGCGAAGGCGGGUCUCUGGGCCGAUACUGACGCUGAGGAGCGAAAGCGUGGGGAGCGAACAGG
rnacentral:rRNA from 1 species